UUGUAUUUCUAUAUGGACUCUGCUUUUUCUUUUUCUCCGAUUAAUGUGAGAAUUUUUAGGCCAUGAGAGCGAACGUGGAGGCUCCUUUUUCUAUUCCUUUAAUUAUAUAAUAGAUUACUGUGACUUAAUUACCGCAGCCUUUUUGUUAGAGGGAACUCUUGAUAGCUCACCCUUCCUCUACAUAUCAGCAGCUAGUCCAUCGCUGCUACUAUGAGCUUUUUUUUCCCUCAGCAACCUCUGCGUCAUGAGUAUUCCAUGCAGGGAAAGCGCACUGUUGGAAAGUCAGUGGAUCACUUCUUACCUGGAGAAAGCUUUGCAUCAAUCAUCGAGGGGCGGCAACUAAUGUUUGUAUCCCAGGACAGAAAGAAUCUUCCCUUUUCUUUAUCUCAAGCAGCCAGCUAUGUUGUUUUUCUUUAGGACCUCUGAGUUCCAAUCACAAAUCUGUGCUCCAAUCCAAGAAGAUCAUCUCUGGCACCUCUCAAGAUGCUAAGCAAUCAGCUGUGAGAACCAGGCCUAUGCUGAUGAUUGCUUUUGCAGAGUUACAAACAGCAUGAUUUCCUCACUGGCCGUAUUCUCGCUCAGAAGCAAAUCCCAAUAACACCAGGGCACAUGUUUAGUAGCAUUGGUCUGAUUAUUAUGGAGAGAAGUGUGCUUGUUGUUAAAAUUUUUUAUGGUUAUAAUGCCGAAAACUCCAGAUGAUGCUUGGUUUGCAAACAGAACAGUGGAGGUAUAAUAAUCUCGAUGAGGUGGCUAACCCAGGCAAUUUUAUUUCUUAUCCUUGCUUGGAUGCCUGAAAGAAAAAGGUUUGAUUCUUGACUUGAUGAUUGGAAGAUACAAUGGCACCUCUUGGUGCCCAUGUGAUUGUGGAUACCCUUCUGAUUAAACAGGCGCAGAAACUAUUAUAUGGAAUUGUACAUUUUAUAAUCCGGACGAUCUGUACAAUUCGGCCUUUUCAUGAUGCUCCGAAGCUUCCCUUGUUCUUUUCUGGAGAUUUUCUGCACCUUUAGACUGACCUGAUGAUAAUAAAAUUAUAGUAUUUGUUUA